GUGGGGAAUCUUGCGCAAUGGGCGAAAGCCUGACGCAGCCAUGCCGCGUGAAUGAUGAAGGUCUUAGGAUUGUAAAAUUCUUUCACCGGGGACGAUAAUGACGGUACCCGAUGAGGAAGCCCCGGCUAACUACGUGCCAGCAGCCGCGGUAAUACGUAGGGGGCGAGCGUUGUCCGGAAUUACUGGGCGUAAAGGGUGCGUAGGCGGCGAUGCAAGUCCAUUGUGAAAAGCCCGGGCUUAACCUGGGAGGUGCAGUGGAAACUGUAUGGCGUGAGUGCAGGAGAGGAAAGUGGAAUUCCUAGUGUAGCGGUGAAAUGCGUAGAUAUUAGGAGGAACACCAGUGGCGAAGGCGGCUUUCUGGACUGUAACUGACGCUGAGGCACGAAAGCGUGGGGAGCAAACAGGAUUAGAAACCCCAGUAGUCC
rnacentral:rRNA from 1 species